rnacentral:lncRNA from 1 species
AGGAGAGGAUUUUGAAUGCGAGUUUUUGUGGAUUUGUAGUAGACUAAGUGAAAAAAAAUUAGAGACAAAUCUCAUGUGAUUUAAUUAAGUAUCAAGGGAGAUAUGGGUCGUCGAAGUUGUCGGUGUCUAAGACUAGGGCAGUGAGGAUUAGUGAAUUUCGGGGCCUUGGUUCUUAGUGGCCACUUGGACUUUUUAGGCGAAAUUCAUUGGGUUUUGUUUCUAAUAAAGUUAAGAAUACUGUAUCCAAAUCUCAAGUCCAUACAACCUGUGAGCUAGGAGAUACAAAGAAAUGAGUGAGAAGGGGUGCAGAAUUUAUAGCUGCAGAGGGGGGGGGGUAACUUUGAAAGCUUGGUUCUCUUAGAAUACUUAACCUUUUUCAAAAUUUCUUUUUGGAUUUGAUUUCUUAUCUUGUCUACUCUAACAUGUCCAAAACUGAAUCUCAUAUAUACUCUAGUUUAGGAGUUAAGGGGAAUAAUAAAUUCGGGAUUUUGAAGGCAGUGGGAGGAAAGAAUAUAUAGUGGAUUUUUAGGGUUUUUAGGGUCUGAUUUUAGGAUUUGGAUGUGUUAAACGACGAUAGACUCUUCCUUGGUCAUUUAGUUGCAAAAAUGACCCAGUGUUUCCUGUAGCAAGACCUCUCAAUGUGACAACAGAACAACUUGAAACGGAAUCGAAGCCUCCGUAAUCGGUACCUCAUUAGGGUGCACAACCAAUUCAGAUCUUAUACUAAGUAAGGGGCCCAUGUGAGGACUUGGAUUGGAUGGCCCUGUAAUUUGGUCCAAUUGGCCCUUCGCUUCAGGAUCACCCAAAUGUUGAAUUGGUCCUUUUUUCUUUUGCUGAUUUCUUGCAAGGACAGCUUGGAUUACUUCUACCUAGUAAAUUAGUGAAUCUUGAGGACCUUGAUUUAUCUCGUCUAUUUUUCCUUGGCUUUAGAUCUGUUGAUCUCGAUUAUUAAAAUUGAACGGUGUAUUACAUUGCUAAUAAGUAUGUCCUCACUGCUCACAAUUCACACACACUGGCGCAUAAUCGUUACUAGUUCUGAGAUUGGGACAUUCACUGGCAUAAUAAUCAAUCUGUUUGCAACGGAAACAAUAAAGUGGUCUUCUUGCACCUCCAUCUGGCAUAUUGGGUGUCUCCAUCGGUAUGUAGUUACUAGGCUUGUUCUAU